rnacentral:lncRNA from 1 species
CUUCACGAUGGAAUGGCUGCACCCACACUGUCUGUGGUACAGAGCAGAAGCCCAUGGACACACACCAGCUAAUCCUGCCAAUGUCAUCUCCUGACCCGUCUAAGGAGGAGAUGGAGGGAAGUUCUGAGUUUGUCGAGCUGAGACGUGAUUCAGCGUAAGUGCUUCCAUCAUGGUCCCCGAGCAUCCCUGCUCUGACGUUGAAG